rnacentral:piRNA from 1 species
CCUGCUGAGAAGGCAAAGGACUGACUGAAA